AUGCAAUAUUGACCGCUUUCCCAGAGCGAUUUCCUGUUGCCAAUUCCAUGACUAAGGGCUACAACUUGAAAAGAGGAGGGACUUCUGGGCCAAAGAUUGCAUUGCAAGCCGUUGAGUCCUGGGGCUUAAUGAGGUACUGCUUAUCAGCAGAGCAUGCUUAUCUGGAGCACGCUGAUGGAGUACCUGCUCCAGCCCCAUCGUGAGCGAACAUGUUUUACCACCCAGCUGCAAGGAGCUUGGAGCGUCCGCGCGGUCAAACAGCAAGGCUCAGCUGAUGCAUGGUGUCGGACUGCAAAAGAAGUGCCCACUUUGGAGACCUGUUUCUAUUGAGAGCCAUCGCUCCAGCAGGAAACCUUCUGGAGAUGAUCCUUCUUCUCCGGACCUAUGUGAUAAAGCAACUCUCUCUAUGCUGGCGUGAGCUGUGAGGGUUGGUAUCCAGCGUUACGCAGCGGCUAGCGCCCCGCUCCUCGGAGGAUACGCGCCGAGGCCGGCGUGCACCUGGGCCCAGGCAGUCGGGUAAGGCGCUCGCAGGGUGGGGACUGGAUUCCUUCCCGACCCCGUCGGCAAACGGCUCCUGCCCCGAAGCGGCGCGUUCCAUUAGCCUUAUCUCCACGCACAAAGCAAAGCUAUAAAUGUUAUUGGCCAUGAAGUUAUUCAGCCCCUUCAAAGUUGCACAUAUGCAAAAUAUGCUGUACUUCUAAAAAUGGGAGCUGCUUUAC